GGAAACCGGAGCUAAUACCGGAUAAUAUUUUGAACCGCAUGGUUCAAAAGUAAAAGACGGUCUUGCUGUCACUUAUAGAUGGAUCCGCGCUGCAUUAGCUAGUUGGUAAGGUAACGGCUUACCAAGGCAACGAUGCAUAGCCGACCUGAGAGGGUGAUCGGCCACACUGGAACUGAGACACUGUCCAG
rnacentral:rRNA from 1 species